CAAUAGCGUAUAUUAAAGUUGUUGCGGUUAAAAAGCUCGUAGUUGGAUUUCUGCCGAGGACGACCGGUCCGCCCUCUGGGUGAGUAUCUGGCUCGGCCUGGGCAUCUUCUUGGAGAACGUAGCUGCACUUGACUGUGUGGUGCGGUAUCCAGGACUUUUACUUUGAGGAAAUUAGAGUGUUUCAAGCAGGCUUACGCCUUGAAUACAUUAGCAUGGAAUAAUAAGAUAGGACCUCGGUUCUAUUUUGUUGGUUUCUAGAGCUGAGGUAAUGAUUAAUAGGGAUAGUUGGGGGCAUUCGUAUUUAACUGUCAGAGGUGAAAUUCUUGGAUUUGUUAAAGAUGGACUACUGCGAAANCANNNGCCAAGGAUGUUUUCAUNGA
rnacentral:rRNA from 1 species